CAGAAAUUAUCCUGGACUCGCUGUUAAUAGUUACGUGAAAAUGUCAGCUCAAUACUCAAUAGGGGUCAAAAAGACAAGCACAGAACCAUGUUAGGAAAAGGUAGAAAGAGAAAAAAAGUAAAAAAAAAAAAACAAGUGGAAAAAAGGAGAAAAUUCCAUAAAAUUGGUAUAUGAAUACAUGGAGAUCUUCAACACUGCAUGCAUUUUGAGCCACCUUAUCAAAAGGAAGUUAGAGUAGAAUUAAAAGAAACCCAACCUCCACAAAGAAACAAGAAUCAUUGGAAUAGUUUUCAUAUAAAGACAGAAAAGUUUUUCCUGAUAAAUAAUAGAUUUCAGAGGAGAGGAGUUGAUAGCUCUUUACAGAGACAUAAAUAGUGAAUGGAGGACACACAUAAAUUAAUUUAUUUCUCUGUAAUAAACUACAAAUUGAAUUUAAGUCUUCAGGAUGAAAGAUUAGAAGCAAGCAAGAGGGGUGCUUCUAAAGAAAAAAAUAAAAAGCCAUAAGCAAAGGUGAUGAUGUCACUUUUGGUUCAGAAAGACCUUAAACUGGCUCUGACCAAGAGGAAUGGUGCUAUGCUUUCUCCAAAGUAGCCAGUGUUAGCCACUGUCAGGGGUGGCAGUCAGUGAAACUGCAGCCUGUUCUGGGGAACUAAGCCCUGACAUCAGCAGAAGUUGCUGUGAUGCUCCCCAGCGUGACCUGUAGUGGAGGAAGUAUCUUGAGCACAGGAUGUGGUGUGUGCCUGUAACAGUUGAGAAAAGGAAUGCUUUGUUUCUGAAUAUAAAUGGAAAUGAACCAAAUCCAAUGUAAAAUCAUACUUGGUUCGAUGGGUGAUUAAAAUAUCAAAAUGUUUAUAAGCUUUCUGUAGGUUGUGGAAGAUUAUCAGUGGGAUGGUCCAAAGCCACAUAGCCUCAGGUUCAUCUUUAUGUCAGGUGUACCCAUUUUCAUCUCUAAGCCUUUAAAAAGCAAAAAAAAGGAAUGAAAAAGUUGUUUUUACUGACCUUCUGGGUAUGCUAACUUCAUGGACUCAGGGGAGAAUCUAGCAACAAAGACAGUCUUGUGAAUACAUGUCUGUACAGUGUGUCAGAUGCAUUUGCUGGACCACAGGCUAACAAUAAAAAGAGAAAAUGAAACUUAUAAAGUUAUUGCUUAUUGUCUGCAAGAUUUAAUCACUCACACUGGAAGUAACUUUACUCUUACCAAUGUGUUCUUUUUCCUCUUUUUUUUUUUUUUAAGAACACUGUGUAUGAAACAAGUGAAAUAAUGCUGAAAUAUAUGUUUUCUAGUGCCUACCUGCUCAGCACCUGAUAGAAACUAUCAAGAAGUUGUCCCCAUGGAAAGUGUCUCCUGAAUUAUACUGAAGGCAAUAAGAGAGAGUCUGUGGUUAAAACUUCUGCCUACAACCAAAUUCUGAGAAUUGGUGUUGUGACUCUCAUCUUCAAAAAGAGCAUAAUAAUUAGAUAACGAGGAGAAUAGUCCAUAUACAAGGAACAAAGAUGCUCCAUGCAAUAACUUGCUGACAUAUAUGUGACUGGCAAUGGAAGAUGGUCUGGCCAUGUGUGAGUCUUCACCCCACAGAUGUACCUCUUCUCUCUUGUUGAUUGCCUCUGAUGUCCUAAGACAAGACGCCAGGAGGAACUCUCUGGAUGCUCUUGUAAGGAAUACAUUCACUUUUAGGCAGGAGCUUAUUUAAUUCACUGAAAUGGAAGACCUAUUUGUGUCAUCUAUGUUGUGGGUAGUCUUCUGAAAUUUCAGCUGUAAAAUGUGACAGUGGACUAUGGUGGCUUUCAGAAGGGGAAGAGAAAGACAAGAGCACAAGGGCACAGAAAGAGAAAGGAAAAGAAGAAAAGGACACACAGACUUCAUAUUUUCAGCUGCAAGGAGAUAUUUAUUGCCUUUAUCUACCCGUUGAACUUAUGCUGUGGCUUUAUGCCACUUAAAACAAUUUUUCCAAUUAAAAUUGAAGUUUUCCUUACUAAUUUUUGCAAAUGCCAUUUUUCUCUUUUUUUCACUUGCAUAAGGAACUGAUAUACUGCAUUUUUAGCUCUUCACAUGCCUGAUUUUUUCUGAACUCACUGAAUUCCAUGACCUAGAUGUUGGUCUUCUCUUGUUUCAUGAGGGAAAUAAUCCCAGGGGACAGCUUCUGCAGGUGAGCAAGUGUGUUGCCAUGCUCUGCUGGUGUAUGGGAAUCAGUAUUUGAACCUCAGACUAUGGAAGAACAAGGUAUUGAAUGUUUCUGGCUGUAACAGGUGAGAUGUGUCAAAACUGGUAAGGUCUUUAUGGUUUCAGAUUUCCCCUUAGAGGUGGGCCAUCACCCUGAAAACUCAGCUUCUGAGCUU